CCUGAUUACUACCCUUUUCUCCUGGAGUAACACAAGGAACUAGUUCUUCAAAUGAUCUUCAAGUGCAGCCAACGAAAGAUGCAGCGGAGGAUGUAGUCGAAUCUUUGAGAGUCCAUAAGCAGAAACCAACCAAAGAUGCACGGGGUCAAGGAACUGAUUUAUCAAGCAUUCCGAUUGAAGAAUCAUUGGAAGGUCAGUUUUAGGUAUCAUUGCUAAUGUUUAGAUAAAUGAUUCUGAAAGAGUUUGUAUUCUCACUGAUUGGAUAGUUACAUAGGGGAUUACAUAUAAAUAGGGAGAGAGGACCAAGGGUCCGAGGUGUGAACAGAC